rnacentral:rRNA from 1 species
GAUGAACGCUAGCGGCAGGCCUAACACAUGCAAGUCGAGGGGUAACAGGGUUGCUUGCAACCGCUGACGACCGGCGCACGGGUGAGUAACGCGUAUACAACCUGCCUAUCACACAGGAAUAGCCCUUGGAAACGAGGAUUAAUGCCUGAUGGUUUUGUAGAACCGCAUGGUUUAACAAAUAAAGAUUUAUCGGUGGUAGAUGGGUAUGCGUAAUAUUAGCUAGUUGGUAAGGUAACGGCUUACCAAGGCGACGAUAUUUAGGGGGUCUUAAAGGAUGAUCCUCCACACUGGUACUGAGACACGGACCAGACUCCUACGGGAGCAGCAGUGAGGAAUAUUGGUCAAUGGACGCAAGUCUGAACCAGCCAUGCCGCGUGAGGGACUACGGUUCUAUGGAUUGAAACCUCUUUUCACAGGAAGAAUAGGAUCUCGUGAGGUCUGAUGACUGUACUGUAG